rnacentral:rRNA from 1 species
GAUGAACGCUAGCGGCAGGCUUAAUACAUGCAAGUCGAACGGGAUUCGGUGUAGCAAUACAUUGAUGAGAGUGGCGCACGGGUGCGUAACGCGUAUGCAACCUACCUUUAACAGGUGAAUAACCCCGAGAAAUCGGGAUUAAUACACCGUAACAUUGCGGGAUGGCAUCAUUCUGCAAUUAAAGAUUUAUCGGUUAAAGAUGGGCAUGCGUGACAUUAGCUAGUUGGUGAGGUAACGGCUCACCAAGGCGACGAUGUCUAGGGGUCCUGAGAGGGUUAUCCCCCACACUGGUACUGAGACACGGACCAGACUCCUACGGGAGGCAGCAGUAAGGAAUAUUGGUCAAUGGGCGCAAGCCUGAACCAGCCAUGCCGCGUGCAGGAAGACGGCCCUAUGGGUUGUAAACUGCUUUUGUCAGGGAAUAAACCUGUCUACGAGUAGGCAGCUGAAGGUACCUGAAGAAUAAGCAUCGGCUAACUCCGUGCCAG